UGAUCUUUAGCCUUUUUGAGGUGUGUGGAAAACUUGGACAGAAGAAGCUCCACUUUAUAGCUCCCUUUUAGGUACAGAAAGGUCACUGUCAGGUCUCCCCAAAGCCUUACCUUCGCCAGGCUGAACAGCCCCAGGAAUCUCAGCCUGCCCACAUAGGAGAGGUGUUCCAACUCUUGGAUUUCUUUUGUGGCUCUCCUCUGGAUGUGCUCCAACAGGUCUGUGUCUCUCCUGUAUUGAG
rnacentral:lncRNA from 1 species